UACGUAGGGUGCGAGCGUUAAUCGGAAUUACUGGGCGUAAAGAGUGCGUAGGCGGUUCUUUGUGUCCGCUGUGAAAGCCCCGGGCUUAACCUGGGAAUGGCAGUGGAAACUAGAGAACUUGAAUCUGGCAGAGGGGGGUGGAAUGCCACGUGUAGCAGUGAAAUGCGUAGAUAUGUGGCGGAACACCGAUGGCGAAGGCAGCCCCCUGGGCUGAGAUUGACGCUCAGGCACGAAAGCGUGGGGAGCGAACAGG
rnacentral:rRNA from 1 species